rnacentral:lncRNA from 10 species
AGCCUGACCUCCAGCUUGCCUGUCAAGUAGAGGCUUGGUUGUCCUGGAGGCACUGCCUCUCUCAGCCCCCUCCCCUCCUACUGUCCAGACUCGAGUCCAGCACUCCCUCUACCCGUGUGCUCUCCAUAUCCCUGCCCUGUAGCCAGGGACUCCCAGUCACCACUUACCUAAGUUUCAUUCUCUAAAGACCCUGGUAAUUGGAAAUAGAUUCCUACUAAUGCACUAAUUUGUUACUCCUCAAGAAGUAAAUGUGAUCUUAAAGUGAUCUUAGGUAGAUAAAGUCUUAAUCCACUGGUUUCCUGAAGUCCUCAUCUUCCUUGGAUGUACCUGAGGGUCACUAUAGAAAGCUUGGAACCCUCCGCCCUCUAUCAGAGCUCCAGCCAGAGCUGUUCUGAUUUUAUACGCCUCCUUAAAAACACUCUAUACUGGGGUCACACAGUGUGAUCUAUGAAAGGGUGGGCUCUGGAGCCAGACCAGGCAGGAUGGAAACCCAGCUCUAGCACCUACAGCUGUGUGAUGUUGGGCAUAUCAUUUAACUUCUCUGUGCCUUAAUUUUGCCAUCUGUAAAGUAUGAACAGUAACAGCACACUGUAUCUACCUUGUAGAAUUGUUGGACUAAAUGAGUUAAAACAUCUGGCAUACAGUAAAUACUACUUAAGAAUGCGCUAGUAUCGUCUACAUAGGGGCCCUCAGAGAUUUUGUUUGAAAGAGGGUUUCCACUGCUUUACAAAAAGGUAAAACAAACAAAGCUCCAAACUCCCACUCCCUUCACUCAAAAUAUGAAUAACUUACUGGAAUGCCACCACCAAGGGUAAGUUUCUUGGCGCCCCUCGGAUCUUACCUAAAUGUGGGGCUGAGCCGGCUUCAGGUCUGCCCAUGAACUGGAUCAAUCAACUCAAACCAGCAUUGUUGUAGCUGCUGACUUAGGGAACGGAGUUAAGUGCAAUAUCUGAGGCACUUUAUUCAUUUUAUUGUUCUCUAGGUUUUUAAAAGUUGUUAUUAUUAAGCUAAUAAUGUUAGGCUCUAUACCUCAUGAGUGCCCAGCAAGAGGCCAUUGGCUCACGGUGUCAGAGGAACCAUGUGAAGAAAUAUUUCCCAAUUUUUGAAGUGAGAGGUCAGAUAUUAGUAUCAAAGAUCAGAUGUUAGUAUCAAAUAACACUGUGGCAUCUGCUUGAUUAGAAAUGAAUGAAUAAACUAGCCCACUUUUCAAUUAUUGGUGACAACUUUUUUAUUUUUAUUUUUAU